rnacentral:lncRNA from 1 species
GCGUUCCGCAAUGUGACAGUCGUUCUGACGGCCACGGUUUUCCUCAAGAUCCGGAUAUUUGCAUAAAAUGGCGUGUGGCGAUUAGAAGAGAGGAUCCGGCAUCCAAGAAAUUAUGGAAACCAAGUCCAUACUCAGUGGUUUGUCGUAAUCUCUUCCUUGACAGCGACUACAAGCCAUCGGACACCGGAAAGAAAAGACGAUUGAAGAGGGGUUGCAAUACCAACAGUGUUCUCCUUUAAGAAAGUGAAUGAACCAAGGAAACCUAGACACUAUGUUAUAGAUGUGGAAGAUGUUCCUGAUCUGGGAAGUGAGGUUGAAAUUUGUUCACCAGGAUGCGAUGAAAUUAUUUGUCAGUCAGAUGCUGUUGAUCAUACAGAAGAUGUGGCCAUACAGUGCAGCUUGUUGUCGGAAUCGAGCUCCAGAUUCUCGAUUCAUCACAUAACUGAUAAUGACAAAGCAGUUUUGUAUUACACUGGCUUUGACAAUUAUGAUCAUUUUAUGUAUUUCUUUCAUGUACUUGGCCCCUCUGUCAAUCAUCUUUCAUAUCAGUGUUCUUUGAUACCACCAGAAGAUCAGCUUUUUAUGACUUUGUUAAAAUUCAGACAGGCAAGAGAUGAUUUUGACCUUUCCAUGUUGUUUCAUAUCAGUGAAAGUACUGUAUCAACAUUCAUUCUCACAUGGACAAACUUUUUGUACUUCCAACUGACUGAGCUAAACAUAUGGGCAUCACGUGACACCGUUCAAGAUACAAUGCCAGACAAUUUCAAGGAGCGCUUCCCAUCAACAAAGGUCAUUCUAGAUGCAACUGAGACUCCGAUUUGUAAGCCAGGCAAUGUAGAUUACCAGGGGGCCACUUUCUUAAGGUACAAGAACAGGAACGCUCUGAAAACUAUGAUUGGUUGUUCUCCUCGAGGUCUUGUUACCUAUGUUAGUGACAGUUAUGGUGGAUCAACAAGUGACAGGCAGAUUAUUGAGAGGUCAGAUUUGUGCAUGCCAGGUGUGUUUUGUGCAGGAGACAGUAUUAUGGCGGACAGAGGCAUUAUGGUGCAGGACAUAUUUUCAUCUUCAGAUGUAAAAGUCAACACUCCAACAAUGCUCAAGGGUCGAAGUCAGCUUGAACCCCAGGGGUAGUCCACGACCACAGAGUAUCAUCCAAGAGAAUUCAUAUUGAGCGUGUUAUUGGACUUGGCAAAACUUACAAAAUUCUUAAGAGGGAGCUUCAUCCAUCAAAAGUUCCACUAGGCACUAGAAUUGUUCGAAUUUGCUAUAUGUUGUCAAACUUUCGCCCAAGCAUUGUAAACCGACUUGCAUGAAUAAAUGUCCAUUCUAAACAUACUUCACACAUUCAUGUAUGUUUGUAUGACCUAGUGUUGUCUGUUCAUAGCAUUGAAAGUACAACAGUUUACUGCUAGUAGACAGGUGUGAUUGUCUACUGUGACUGUAUGGUAGGUAUUAGACACGGCUCACUGCUGUAUGAUUACUGUUUACUCUGUUCCUUAAUGAUCUUGUUCAACUAAUACAAUCCGGAAACUGCAAAGGUAUGUUUGUGAAUGAGUUAGUUGAUAAAAUUAGCACAUUGAUGUUUGCUGAUGGCAUUUUGAAUGCAAGUGACGCUAUUGUCAAAUUGCAGAAAUCAGAUGUAGCAAGCUUUUGUGGCAAAUAUGUUAUGAAUGUAAAUUUAGAUGAAACAAUUAUGAUUGUAUUUUGCAGAGGAGGACUUUUCAAACAAAUUGAAAAAUAGUGGUUCAAAGGUGAAAUAAUUUAAAUUGUAUCAGCAUACAAGUGCUUGUGGAUAUUUGACACCACAAAGUCUUCAUGGGGUUUGGUUAGAAAUACAUUAGCACAACAACCUGAAAAGCCAUGAAUAUUUUGCUCACAUUUAUAUAUAAUGCAAACAUAUCUUUAAGAGUUGUGUUUAUUGUUGACAGAAUGAUUGUGCCAGUCAUUGGUUAUGGACCAGGUAUGUGGGGUUAUUCACAAGUUCAGACAGUUUAAAGUGUACA